GAUGAACGCUGGCGGCGUGCCUAAUACAUGCAAGUCGAGCGAACAGACGAGGAGCUUGCUCCUCUGACGUUAGCGGCGGACGGGUGAGUAACACGUGGAUAACCUACCUAUAAGACUGGGAUAACUUCGGGAAACCGGAGCUAAUACCGGAUAAUAUAUUGAACCGCAUGGUUCAAUAGUGAAAGACGGUUUUGCUGUCACUUAUAGAUGGAUCCGCGCCGCAUUAGCUAGUUGGUAAGGUAACGGCUUACCAAGACAACGAUGCGUAGCCGACCUGAGAGGGUGAUCGGCCACACUGGAACUGAGACACGGUCCAGACUCCUACGGGAGGCAGCAGUAGGGAAUCUUCCGCAAUGGGCGAAAGCCUGACGGAGCAACGCCGCGUGAGUGAUGAAGGUCUUCGGAUCGUAAAACGCUGUUAUUAGGGAAGAACAAAUGUGUAAGUAACUAUGCACGUCUUGACGGUACCUAAUCAGAAAGCCACGGCUAACUACGU
rnacentral:rRNA from 1 species